AAGCGCACUGCAUGGCGCUUUCAGCUGUAGCGCACGGCUCUUCAAUGAGCCAUUCCCCUAGGCCCAAACAGCUUUAAUCGUUUUGGGCCUUUUUUU
rnacentral:sRNA from 1 species